rfam:Neospora caninum Liverpool complete genome, chromosome IX
UCCCAUGUAGUCUAGGUGGUUAGGAUACCCGGCUUUCACCCGGGCGACCCGGGUUCGAGUCCCGGCGUGGGAA